UACGAGGGGGGCGAGCGUUGUUCGGAAUUAUUGGGCGUAAAGGGUGCGUAGGCGGUUCCGCAAGUCCUGUGUGAAAUCUUCGGGCUCAACUCGAAGUCUGCACGGGAAACUGCGGGGCUUGAGUGUGGGAGAGGUGAGUGGAAUUCCCGGUGUAGCGGUGAAAUGCGUAGAGAUGUGGAGGAACACCAGUGGCGAAGGCGGCUUUCUGGUCUGUAACUGACGCUGAGGCGCGAAAGCGUGGGGAGCAAACAGG
rnacentral:rRNA from 1 species